rnacentral:rRNA from 1 species
UUAAGCGACUAAGCGUACACGGUGGAUGCCCUGGCAGUCAGAGGCGAUGAAGGACGUGCUAAUCUGCGAUAAGCGUCGGUAAGGUGAUAUGAACCGUUAUAACCGGCGAUUUCCGAAUGGGGAAACCCAGUGUGAUUCGUCACACUAUCAUUAACUGAAUCCAUAGGUUAAUGAGGCGAACCGGGGGAACUGAAACAUCUAAGUACCCCGAGGAAAAGAAAUCAACCGAGAUUCCCCCAGUAGCGGCGAGCGAACGGGGAGCAGCCCAGAGCCUGAAUCAGUGUGUGUGUUAGUGGAAGCGUCUGGAAAGGCGCGCGAUACAGGGUGACAGCCCCGUACACAAAAAUGCACAUACUGUGAGCUCGAUGAGUAGGGCGGGACACGUGGUAUCCUGUCUGAAUAUGGGGGGACCAUCCUCCAAGGCUAAAUACUCCUGACUGACCGAUAGUGAACCAGUACCGUGAGGGAAAGGCGAAAAGAACCCCGGCGAGGGGAGUGAAAAAGAACCUGAAACCGUGUACGUACAAGCAGUGGGAGCACGCUUAGGCGUGUGACUGCGUACCUUUUGUAUAAUGGGUCAGCGACUUAUAUUCUGUAGCAAGGUUAACCGAAUAGGGGAGCCGAAGGGAAACCGAGUCUUAACUGGGCGUUAAGUUGCAGGGUAUAGACCCGAAACCCGGUGAUCUAGCCAUGGGCAGGUUGAAGGUUGGGUAACACUAACUGGAGGACCGAACCGACUAAUGUUGAAAAAUUAGCGGAUGACUUGUGGCUGGGGGUGAAAGGCCAAUCAAACCGGGAGAUAGCUGGUUCUCCCCGAAAGCUAUUUAGGUAGCGCCUCGUGAAUUCAUCUCCGGGGGUAGAGCACUGUUUCGGCAAGGGGGUCAUCCCGACUUACCAACCCGAUGCAAACUGCGAAUACCGGAGAAUGUUAUCACGGGAGACACACGGCGGGUGCUAACGUCCGUCGUGAAGAGGGAAACAACCCAGACCGCCAGCUAAGGUCCCAAAGUCAUGGUUAAGUGGGAAACGAUGUGGGAAGGCCCAGACAGCCAGGAUGUUGGCUUAGAAGCAGCCAUCAUUUAAAGAAAGCGUAAUAGCUCACUGGUCGAGUCGGCCUGCGCGGAAGAUGUAACGGGGCUAAACCAUGCACCGAAGCUGCGGCAGCGACACUAUGUGUUGUUGGGUAGGGGAGCGUUCUGUAAGCCUGUGAAGGUGUACUGUGAGGUAUGCUGGAGGUAUCAGAAGUGCGAAUGCUGACAUAAGUAACGAUAAAGCGGGUGAAAAGCCCGCUCGCCGGAAGACCAAGGGUUCCUGUCCAACGUUAAUCGGGGCAGGGUGAGUCGACCCCUAAGGCGAGGCCGAAAGGCGUAGUCGAUGGGAAACAGGUUAAUAUUCCUGUACUUGGUGUUACUGCGAAGGGGGGACGGAGAAGGCUAUGUUGGCCGGGCGACGGUUGUCCCGGUUUAAGCGUGUAGGCUGGUUUUCCAGGCAAAUCCGGAAAAUCAAGGCUGAGGCGUGAUGACGAGGCACUACGGUGCUGAAGCAACAAAUGCCCUGCUUCCAGGAAAAGCCUCUAAGCAUCAGGUAACAUCAAAUCGUACCCCAAACCGACACAGGUGGUCAGGUAGAGAAUACCAAGGCGCUUGAGAGAACUCGGGUGAAGGAACUAGGCAAAAUGGUGCCGUAACUUCGGGAGAAGGCACGCUGAUAUGUAGGUGAAGCGACUUGCUCGUGGAGCUGAAAUCAGUCGAAGAUACCAGCUGGCUGCAACUGUUUAUUAAAAACACAGCACUGUGCAAACACGAAAGUGGACGUAUACGGUGUGACGCCUGCCCGGUGCCGGAAGGUUAAUUGAUGGGGUUAGCGCAAGCGAAGCUCUUGAUCGAAGCCCCGGUAAACGGCGGCCGUAACUAUAACGGUCCUAAGGUAGCGAAAUUCCUUGUCGGGUAAGUUCCGACCUGCACGAAUGGCGUAAUGAUGGCCAGGCUGUCUCCACCCGAGACUCAGUGAAAUUGAACUCGCUGUGAAGAUGCAGUGUACCCGCGGCAAGACGGAAAGACCCCGUGAACCUUUACUAUAGCUUGACACUGAACAUUGAGCCUUGAUGUGUAGGAUAGGUGGGAGGCUUUGAAGUGUGGACGCCAGUCUGCAUGGAGCCGACCUUGAAAUACCACCCUUUAAUGUUUGAUGUUCUAACGUUGACCCGUGAUCCGGGUUGCGGACAGUGUCUGGUGGGUAGUUUGACUGGGGCGGUCUCCUCCUAAAGAGUAACGGAGGAGCACGAAGGUUGGCUAAUCCUGGUCGGACAUCAGGAGGUUAGUGCAAUGGCAUAAGCCAGCUUGACUGCGAGCGUGACGGCGCGAGCAGGUGCGAAAGCAGGUCAUAGUGAUCCGGUGGUUCUGAAUGGAAGGGCCAUCGCUCAACGGAUAAAAGGUACUCCGGGGAUAACAGGCUGAUACCGCCCAAGAGUUCAUAUCGACGGCGGUGUUUGGCACCUCGAUGUCGGCUCAUCACAUCCUGGGGCUGAAGUAGGUCCCAAGGGUAUGGCUGUUCGCCAUUUAAAGUGGUACGCGAGCUGGGUUUAGAACGUCGUGAGACAGUUCGGUCCCUAUCUGCCGUGGGCGCUGGAGAAUUGAGGGGGGCUGCUCCUAGUACGAGAGGACCGGAGUGGACGCAUCACUGGUGUUCGGGUUGUCAUGCCAAUGGCACUGCCCGGUAGCUAAAUGCGGAAGAGAUAAGUGCUGAAAGCAUCUAAGCACGAAACUUGCCCCGAGAUGAGUUCUCCCUGACUCCUUGAGAGUCCUGAAGGAACGUUGAAGACGACGACGUUGAUAGGCCGGGUGUGUAAGCGCAGCGAUGCGUUGAGCUAACCGGUACUAAUGAACCGUGAGGCUUAACCUU